rnacentral:rRNA from 1 species
UUUUAAUAAAAUCUUAAUAAUAUUAUUAUUUUUUUUAUUUUAUAUAAAUAAAUUAAUUUUAUAUUUAAUAGUUUAAUUAUUUAUUUAAAAAAAAUUUUUAAUUUUAUAUAAAUUAUUAUUGAAAAAAAAAGAUUAAAUAAUUUUAAUUAAAUAUUUAUAUAUUUAAUAAGAAAAUUUAAUUUAUUGUAUCUUGGGUAUCAGAGUUUAUUAAUUAAAUAUUAUUUAUUUAUUUUUCUCGAAAUUUAUUUAUUUAUUAAUUAAUUUAAUUUAAUAUAUAAAAAUUAUAAUAUAUUAGUUAAUAGAAUCUAAAAGUUAUUCGGUUUAAAUUAUAUCUAGUUUAUAUAGAAAAAAAUUAAAUUUUUUUAAUAUAUUAUUAAUUUAUUUUUUAUAUAUAAAUAAAUUAUUAUUAUUAUUAAAAAUAUUAUAAGGGAUAAGCUUUAUAAUAAAUUUUUAUAUUAAUUUUAUUUUAAUAAAAUUUAUAUGAUUAAUAUUUUUUAAUUAAUGUAUUUUUUUAUAAAUAUUUUUAUUUUGAUAAAAUAUUUUUUUUUAAUUAUUUUAUUUAUAUAUAAAAAAUAUAAUAAUUUUUAUUUUGUUAUAAUGAUUAAAUGAGUAUAUUUAUUUUAUAUUAAAAUAUAUUUAAAUUAUUUUUUAUAAUAUUAAUGAAUUCGACAAAUUAAGUAUUCAACUGUUUAACAAAAACAUUUCUUUAAGUUAGUAAAUUUUAAGUAUAAUCUGCCCACUGAAUUAUUUUAAAGGGCUGCAGUAUAUUAACUGUGCAAAGGUAGCAUAAUCAAUAGUUUUUUAAUUGGAAACUUGUAUGAAUGAUUAAAUGAAAUAUUAAUUUUAUAUAUAUAUUAAUUAUAAAAAUUUAUUUUUUAUUGAAAAAGAUAAAAUAUUUAUAAAAGACAAGAAGACCCUAUAGAUUUUUAUAUAUAAAUUUAUUUAAUUUAUUUAUAUAUUAAAUUGGGGUGAUUAUAAAAUUUAUUAAACUUUUAUUUUAAUUACAUUAAUUUAUGAAUUUUAGAUCUUUUUUUGAAAAUAUGUAGAUUAAAUUACCUUAGGGAUAACAGCAUAAUUUUAAUUUAAAGUUCUUAUUUAAAUUAAAGAUUGUGACCUCGAUGUUGGAUUAAGAUUUAAAAUUAGGUGAAAAUUUUUAGUUUUUUAGUCUGUUCGACUAAUAAUUUCUUACAUGAUCUGAGUUCAAACCGGUGUAAACCAGGUUGGUUUCUAUCUUUAUUUAGGAUUUAUUUUUAGUACGAAAGGAAUUAAAUUGAUAAUAUUUUUAUUUUUUUUUUGAAUAUUAUUA